CCUACGGGUCGCAGCAGUGGGGAAUAUUGCACAAUGGGCGCAAGCCUGAUGCAGCCAUGCCGCGUGUGUGAAGAAGGCCUUCGGGUUGUAAAGCACUUUCAGCGGGGAGGAAGGCGUUAAGGUUAGUAACCUUGGCGAUUGACGUUACCCGCAGAAGAAGCACCGGCUAACUCCGUGCCAGCAGCCGCGGUAAUACGGAGGGUGCAAGCGUUAAUCGGAAUUACUGGGCGUAAAGCGCACGCAGGCGGUCUGUCAAGUCGGAUGUGAAAUCCCCGGGCUCAACCUGGGAACUGCAUUCGAAACUGGCAGGCUAGAGUCUUGUAGAGGGGGGUAGAAUUCCAGGUGUAGCGGUGAAAUGCGUAGAGAUCUGGAGGAAUACCGGUGGCGAAGGCGGUCCCCUGGACAAAGACUGACGCUCAGGUGCGAAAGCGUGGGGAGCAAACAGGAUUAGAUACCCGUGUAGUC
rnacentral:rRNA from 1 species